UAUUAUAAACUAGUUUAUAAUUAAGAAAACGACUGUCGAUAAUAACUUUUGGACCAAUACUUAGGAAGUUAUUAGAAUUUUAAAAUAUAAUACUGAUGGCGAAGCGCAGAUGCUAUUUUUACAUUAGUCAUUCUUCGGUCACACUUCUCCUGCCACUUAGAUACAAAAAUUAGAAUAUCUUACAAAGCACUAGUCUAAAAUUUGUUGUUUUAAAUUACCUUAAUUUAAUUUAAUUACAUUAAUUUUUUAAAUUACAAAUGCUAAAAUCGUUUUGUAUUUUAUAAGUCGAUUAACACAAUAUUCAUGCUCUGCAUUUAUUUCAAUUAAUGAUUUAAUAAUAUACUGUGAAUAAAAGUAACAAUUUUUUAUGAUUUGAUAAUUUAACCAUCACUAUUUAUAAGCUGAAAACAAUAUUUUGAGAUCCACAUUUUAAAUAACUCACAAAUUUGAUCAAUUGUUAUCAAGCAAAAUUUAACUAACACGACAAUGUAAAAGUCGUAACAAUGUUAUUACUGGAAAGGCCAAAUAAUCAAUAAAGAUAAACAGGAAAUUCUAUACGGCAGUUAACUACUACACAUCAUUCGCACAAUGCCAAUACACACACAUGUGCAUAUAUGUAUAGUAAACGGAACAUCUUGAAACGGUAUUGAGUUUACUGGAGUCUAUAAUUUUCCUUGACAAAUUAUGUUUUCGCUUCGAUAUCAAGAGGACCUAUUGAAUAUUAUGGAAUUUGUUGACAUAAAAGGGCCGUCGUUAAACAUAGACGAUCAAGUGAAGUUAUUUCGGAAAACGUCCAAGUGAGUUAAAGUGAACUCGAUUUUCUAUCCCAAUUGAAAAAAAAUCAGUGCUUCGGUGGAAAUGAAUCGCCAAGUUUAAAACGUUGGAACUCAAACGUGUGUUCGUAGGUUUGUAAAUCGUUACAACCCUGAGGCAUCGACAGAAGAUGAAACAGACAAUGGAAAAAAUUCAUAGUAAUAGGCAAGAUAUAGGAGAAGUUUUCAUGCCAAUUUGAUAUUUAAAAUCCAUUUACAGAAGUCAGGAAAAAUCAUAGAUGUUUAACUUCGUCAUGUUACACUAGUAAUAGUGAUUUAAUAUAAACACUUGUAUUAACUGAAUAUUUUAUUAUAACUGUAUAUAUACAUUAGUUAUUAUUUUACAAUGUUUUAAUAUCGUAA